UAAUGUAAAUGACAAGUUAAUGGGUGCAGCACACCAACAUGGCACAUGUCUACAUAUGUAACCUGCACGUUGUGCACAUGUGCCCUAUAACAAAGUACAAUAAAUAUUUUAAAAUCCUAUUGAAUAAGGUUAUUGUAGAGAAUAAGGAUGUGUAAAGCAUUUGAUCAUGUAAACGCUAAAAUAUAAUUUUUACUUUCACUCCCUUAUUUAAUUAGUUUUAUCUUUAAUAAUACCUUGGAUUCAGGGUAAAGUUUCAGUUAUGUCCCAGUAAUCAUUUAUUUUACCCUCGAAUCUGCAAUUUGGAUAGAACAUGGUGGGGACAGCUCGUCUCUAUUCCUUGCAGCAUUAGCAGGCUGGAGGCACCACUUCUCUGGCCAGCAAGUUGGGCCUGGUUAUUGGCUGAGAGCCUCAGCUCCUUUCUGCGUAGGUUCCUCUUUACAUAGGCUUCUCAACAGGGCUACUAGAGCAUCGUCACCAUAGCAGCUUUGGUCUGAGAGACAAAAACAUGGAAGCUGCCAAAUUGUUCUGGGUCUGGAAGCUGUCAGGGCAUCACUUGUGCCAUAUUCAGUUGGUCUAAGAAUUACAGAACCUGCCUCGAUUCAAAGGGAGAGGAUAGAGAGGACUGAAAGAAUCAGUGGUCAUCUUUAAUAUGCAGCAAGACAGGUUUGGGAUCUUUUUUUUCCCCUUGAGUCUGUGAAGGCAUUACUUAAGAACAAAAUCAGGCAUGUAUAAUUGAACUACAGUUACUUUGAGUAUAAGCUCAAAGUUUCAGAUAAUAAAUACAACUACUAUUUUUCUGCUGUUAUUGUUGUACCUAAGGAUGCCAUCCUAAUCCCCAGAUCUCCACAACUAUACCUACAUAGUAGAAGGCUAAAAUGUAUCCCUUUUUUUCUGGUACGUCCAGCAAAAGUAAUAUCACGAAUUUUGAGCUCUCUGAGAGCAGGGAUCAUAUCUGUCUUGUUUAUUGUUGCAGUGAACAAGUACAGUUGCAGAUAUUCAGGAGUAAUUAUCUAAAUGGCAGUAUAAUUAGAAAACUGAAUUUUCACCAGCUACACCCCCCACCCCCAACUCCUUAUCUGUAAAAAGCUUAUUUGAGUGGUUACCUGUCUUCAGUAAAGAUUGCGCUUGCAUAUUUGCUGUCAUUGCAUAUUCUGCUUAAUUAGACUCUGUUGAUAUUGCAGUUUCUGUGCAUUCUUACAUUUUAGAUGCAAUCUGAGGGACUAGGAAGGCCUUUUAAAAAUAAAACAAUUCAGAUGCAGAGGAAGUGUAAGUCAUGGACAGUUAAUUAAAGGGGAACAUAGAAUGCUAUUUAGAUUUUAGUUGAUGGUGCCAGUCUUCAGCGUAAAGUAAAAAAUGAAGGGAAGUUUAGUAAGGAAAAAAUAUUGGGCUUGGAAUACAUUGUUUAGUCUUCAAAGCACUUUUUAUGAAAUAUAUUUUAGACAUUCAGCAAAUAUUGAAUACUUAACUAUAUCAGGCAGUAAAGAUAUAAAUUCAUUCUUAAAAUGUUCAACAUGUUCAAACAAAAAAAAAUUCUUAAACAGGAGACUUUUUCCCUCAUACUUUUUAAUUAACAAGACUUAGUUGCAUUAAUGGGCGUGCUUAUGAUUGAUCACCCAGCAGCGUCGUUAGAAAUAUAUUUUAUUCAUGUGCAGAAAUCUUUGGGUUGUCUUGGGGAACCUUGAACACAGAAAAGAGCUUUUAUUGAUAAGGUAAUUGAACACACUUGACAAUUAGCUUAAUACGGUUUAAUAUCAUUUGUGCGAGAAGAUGAAUCAGCCAGGCUCUUUAUGUCAACAAUAUGAAGUUUCUCUUGACUCAACCAACUUAAGAUGAGCUAGGGAGACUGCAGUGAAAAGUUAAAUAUCCAAGUACACCAGCAAAUUUCACACAGUGGAACCGUGCUGCCCUCUGGCACCCUGCACCUCGCCCAACAGUCAUCAACUAGAUAUAGGCUCCUGGCUGCAAGGAGGACUUGAUGGGAAUGAGUAAAUGUGUCAGCAUAGUCCCUCCCUUCCAAUGGAAAAGCAACCCAAAGAGCAAAUCCUUUUAAUGGCUGGAUCAGUAUCAUCUACUUGUCAAAAACAUUCCAUGAAUUAUGAGUCAGAAUUUUAUUUAUGGUGGCAUUACACACAUUAAGCGAUUAGGACUUUUGUUAGCAUAAUUUAUUAGCUGGAAAAGUUGAGAAGGUUCUCUGGACUCAUUUUUAUAGGUGGAACCUAAGUGAUCUGGAUCAUUGCCCACCAGCAAAAUUGCUGGGCAUGGCGGACAAAGAAAAUGUUCCUUCUAAUGAUUUUUUAUGAGCUGAGUAGCUAUUGUUCCCAGCUGAGGGCUCUUUUCCUCUUUUUAUUGUUGCUGAGCAAAAGAAUUUAUAAAAAGCUCUUUCUUUUGUAUUAAAAACCCUGCUCAAUUGAAAUGCAAGUUCAUUAAGUAAUGUUCGUUUCUCUUCCUGCCAUAAUAACCCUUUCCCUCUCUGUUCGAUUCAAUAGUGUCUAGCAGUAUUGGUCCAAAUUUUAAGUCUGAACAGACUAUAUUACAUAGAUGUGGAGAAAUAGAUAUUCAAUCUUCAGCAUUAAGAGGGAGCUUAAUUUCACACGGGUAGAAUAUGAUCACUCAGGCUAGAUGUUGGCCAUAAAUUUCAAAUUAGGAUCUCAACUUAGGGGGGGGAAUCAACAGUGGCAAACUUCAAUUAUGACAGGAUAAAAAUCACAUAGAGAGAUUGGUUCAAUAUGGACAUCUAAACUACAAUGCUAAAAACCAAUAAUUAGAAUAAGUUCACUUUAAGAAAAGCGUUAGUAAUAUUAGCUAACAUUUGUUUAGUACCUGUGCCAAACAUUCUACCUAUGUUACCUUGAUUUUCAUAGCUAGCCUAAGAGGUACUAUUAUGUAUCCCCAUUUUACAGGUUAAGAAACAGGCUCAGAGGAGUUUAGGAUCUUUUCCAAGAUUACAUAGCCAGUAAGUGGUGGGACUGGGAACCAAAUUCAGACUCUGAAACACAUGCUGUUUAUAUUAUAUUGCACUCACUCUAAACAUGUGGGAAUCAGAAUGAAGGGGCUUGUAUGACUUUUGGCUCAUUCUUUGAUGCAUGUGACCUGGGGUUAUAAAUGUGAAAUUAGGUUUACGAAAGGAUCCAGUGUCAUUGUGCAUCAUGGGCAAGGAGUACCUAAUCUCUUUAAUUCUUCCCUGGAAGCUUAUCAUGUCCAUCCAAGUGCACAUAGCAAAAGUUCUGUUGUAAAGUUUAGCAGAGUGACUUUCUUUGACUCAGAGUGAUGAUGGAGGAAGCUUUGAUAAGAUUUUAUCUGAAAUGUUCAUGGACAAGAGCUUUCAAGGAGAACAUCCAGAGCAAGGUUCUGAAGACAGCUCAUGAAAGUGAAGCAGCAGACCUUGCACAAGAAAUGAAGAGAUAGCUCAAUGUAUUAAAGAUGAAAACAAGAAGACCGAAUUUAUUGAAAGGAGCAGAGAGACAAUGAAAACAAGACAACUGAAACGAGGACUUUGCCAAAAGCUUCAAGAAGUAGCCAACAUAACUCAACAUCCAAAAUGUCUCCUGCCAUUUCCCUUAACACUACAGCCUCAGCUGGCACGUGACUGGAAUCUCAAGGCAUGACAAGCAAGAGUCCAAAGCAAAUGUCUUGCUGCCACCCAGUAAGUGUUACAGACAUCCAGCCUAUUCCAGGUAGACCCUCACUGCCCUCUGCCCUGCCACCUCAACUCAGCCAUUCUGUACUUUCAGAUAUUAUCUGUGCUGCUCUAUUUACUGCAACUAAAUUCAAAGAAACAUGUUUGGCUACAAGUAACAGAGGAUAGGACAAUAAAAAGGAUUUUAUUUAGUCAACAAGAAAUCUGGACAAAGGUGGUUCCAGGAGUGGGAGGAGGACGAAGGCGGAGAGGGAUUUGGUGCACAGCCAGACAGCAGUGUUUGCCAUGGGAUCAUGCCUAUUGAUCUUAGUUUUCCAACCUCCAACUUGGAAAUAGAUAAACCAUCUGUCUUCCCUUCCUGGGGAGUAGCAGGUUAUGAAUAAAUUAUGCUGCCAGA